rnacentral:pre_miRNA from 1 species
AGUGGAAUUGCUGAGUCAUAUGGUAUAAGCCUACAUUUAACUUUUUGAGAAACUGCAAAACUGUUCUCCACAGUGACUGCACUAUUUUGCAAUCCCACCAGCAAU